rnacentral:rRNA from 1 species
GGGCCCGCACAAGCAGUGGAGUAUGUGGAUUAAUUCGAAGCAACGCGAAGAACCUUACCAGGUCUUGACAUCGUAUGCAUAGCUCAGAGAUGAGUGAAAUCUCUUCGGAGACAUAUAGACAGGUGGUGCAUGGUUGUCGUCAGCUCGUGUCGUGAGAUGUUGGGUUAAGUCCCGCAACGAGCGCAACCCUUACUGUUAGUUGCUACGCAAGAGCACUCUAGCAGGACUGCCGUUGACAAAACGGAGGAAGGUGGGGAUGACGUCAAAUCAUCAUGCCCCUUAUGACCUGGGCCUCACACGUACUACAAUGGCUGUAAACAGAGGGAUGCAAAGCCGCGAGGUAGAGCGAACCCCUAAAAGCAGUCUUAGUUCGGAUUGUAGGCUGCAACCCGCCUACAUGAAGUCGGAAUUGCUAGUAAUCGCAGAUCAGCAUGCUGCGGUGAAUACGUUCCCGGGCCUU